rnacentral:lncRNA from 1 species
UUCCUUCUUAUAGAUUGUGGGCCUUUUUCCUCUCUCUGUAAACACAAUCUCCUCUCCAACCCUAAAACGGCCGCUCAUCUCCCUUCUUUCGUCUGCGAGCCGUGCUUUUGAACAGAGAAAAGAUGUCAAUUUCAUUCGUCCAGUUACACGACCUUCCUUUUGAACCUGAAUGGUUUGUUUUGUUCGACCAACCGUUUCACCACCUCGUCUCCGCUGUGUUGAGCUGUUUGUGAUAAGAACCACCGUGCCGGCGUUCAUAUGGCUACCAUGAGCUUCAUUUCAUCUUCUUCAAGGUGAGGUGGAACAAAAACUCAUUUCGUUCUUGUUUAUUGAAGAAAUAGACUGAGAACUUUUUCUCCAUUCAGUCCUAUACGGCGGUUUCAGUUUUUUCUGAUAUUAGAAAUGAAAUGCAGGGUAAAAAAUUUAGGAUCCUGGAGACGAGAAACUAUAAAUUAAUAAGGACUUUGUGAAAGUGUAUCUGUGCUUGCUUCUUAGUAAUAAUAUUGAUUUGCUUAUGCUUGGAGUGAAGUUCCUGGAAGAGUUAGAACUGCCGUUAGGUUGUGCCUGAGGAAUGCCGAGUAAUCAGUGUGUUGAAUUGCAGCCGGAGGUAUGUGAUUUAUUGCUUGUUGUAGAUAUAUUUUCUUUGUUGGACAGUUGAUUAUACUUGUUUCUCUACUGUCAUGUGUGUUAUGGUAGCGAGGCAUUUAUAUUAUAUUAUUAUAUUUUUUUUAAAAAAAUACUAUAUUAUUACAUUUAAAAUCUCAAACUAUUGUAUCGUAGAUUGGUGUAGUAAUUGAGCAAAAUAUUACUAAUGUUUUUAUCUUCCGGGUGACUUUAGAGUUUGGGAAUCUAAAUUGGCAUAAUAUUAUUUAUUUAUUAAAAGGUUAUAAUUUUCUAUUUAGAGUGUAUAUCACUUUUUUAAAAGAAAAUUUGACCAUAAUUAGGGGUGUUCGCGGUGCGGUUUGGAUGGUUUCUGCGAUAAAAAAUCAUCCAAACCUCAAGAGAAAAAAGGAUGCGGUUCGAUUUGGUUCGAUUGACUUUUAAAAAUAAAACCAAACCAAAUCAAUGCGGUUUGGGUUGGUUCGGUUGGUUCGAUUUUUUAUAAUAUUUUUAUUGAGCCAUAUAUACUCCUAUAAAUAAGACAUAACUUUGUGUUUAGUCAUUCUUACGUUACUAAAUAACAUCAAAAUUCAUCAUAUUUAGACAAAAAUAAAAACUUAUCAUUCAAUAUACAAAAAAUCAGAUUAGACAAAAGUGGAAUAAAAGACAAAUAUAAAUAGUAGCAUAAAAUAAUAUUAAAGACAUUGUAAUAAAACAUAAAAAAAACAUAUGAGAUGAGAGAUUAGAUAAGAUGAAAAAAAGAAUAUAAGAGAUGCGAGAUUGAGAAGAAAAGUGCAAUAAAAACGUAAUUGGAAGAAAAAAUAGUAACAUAAAAGAUAAAAAAGAAAGAACAUAAUAGAUGACUUAUUAGAGUAGAAUAAGCGAGACCUACAUGGAAAAUAAGAUGAGAAGAAUGUGUGAUACUAUUAUGAGAGAUUUAAGAAGGUUGAAAUUGAAACCCUAAGUGUGAUUAAGAGAAAAUCGUUUGUAAUUGUAAGGUUAAGGCAUACUAGGUUUGAGGUUUGGGUUGGAUGUGGGAUAAGUGAACUUUGGGUUGUAACAUAAUGCGGUUUGGUUUGGUUUAGUUCGGUUUGCAAAAUACAAACCGCAAACCAAACCAAACCGUGCGGUUUUAUUAAAAAAUGACCCAAAUGAAUCCGAACCAAAUACGAUUUUUUGCGGUUUCGAUUUGGUUUGGUUUGGAUUGCGAUUUUCUAUUGGGUUGGUUUGAUUUUGAACACACCUAACCAUUAUUAAUUACUUUGGAUUCAAACACUAGUGUAAUGUUGCCCAGAUUUGGCUUUUAAUUGGUUUCAUGAAAAAGGCCGUCAAAGAAUUAUGAUUUGCCUUAUGUUCUAUUAUUAUGUUUUGAUAAGGGCUAGAAUCUAAAACAUAAUCUAAAACUAUGAAUUUAAGAUGUGUAAUGUUAUUGUAAUGAUAAAUGGAGUUUAGAUGGAGAUGUUUGGGUAAGUGUUAAAUAUCAAUAUUGGUGAUGAGUCAUUUUAAAAAAGUAAUAUGUGUUGAUAUAAAGGAAAUUGGAUUAGACUUUAAACAACUCUAUGGAAAUUGUUAUUAGAUAAACAAGGAGGAUGAUAGUUGUGCCUUUUUUUCUUUUAUAGGAAAUGCAUUGUCACUUGUCGUAAUACUUUUACAAUGUAAAUAAAUUCUUUUUCUUAUCUACAUGUUAUUACAUCUUUGACGUGUUAUCUGAUUAACAUUUAUUGAAUCGAUAGGGACUCUGGAUUAAGGUGUGAGAAACAUAAUCGUUUAAUCUUGUGGAUCUUUGGAGUAAAGACUCUUGCGUAGAAGUUCUACUCGCAACUGUAAGUGCCCUUUCUAACAAUAUUAUACAUGAUUAAAUCCAUGUGUGUUUGUAUGCAUGAUUGUAUGAUUGUGCAAGUAUAAUUAUUUAAUUAGUUUAAUGUUAUAAUUUAAAGAAUAUUUUAUUUAUCUAUCAUAAUUUUAAUGCAUAUAUAUAUUUUACAGGAUUAAUGUACUUUUGGUCCUCCUAAUUUAGUUAUCUAUCAUAGUUUUUAUGCAUAUAUAUAUAUAUAUAUAUAUAUAUAUAUAUAUAUAUAUAUAUAUAUAUAUAUAUUUUUUUUUUUUUUUAUAGGCUUAAAUGUACCUUUGUGACUUGGAUGUCAUCUGAGCAUCUACAAACGAAGUGGUUUUUAUUUUAUUGUCAAAGGGUGCUAGGUGUGCAUAUAUCCCUUUUAGAGGUAAAUCACGGAGUGAAUUAAAGGUUAUUACACUAUGUGUUAAUGGAAACCACUGUGUGAAGAUAUUUAAUUGUUUAGAUUUUCUUUGGUUGUCUGAAAUAAUUUGUGGUUUCUUUAUCUAAAAAUGAAUAUUAUUUAUUGAUUCGGUACUUUUGCACUUUCUUUUAAAGGCGAUAUAUCCCAUACCUUCUGUAGAUCUCCAAUGGAGUUAUGAUCAUUUUAUUGAACAUAGAAAGAAGACUUCAAAUAGUAUAGUAGUUUGAGAAGCUGAAGAAUACCAUUUUUAAGAAAAAAAAAAUACCAUUUUUAAGAAAAAAAGAAUACCAUUUUUAAGAAAAAAAGAAUCACUAGCUAGAUAAUAAACCUGGAAUCAAAACCACUCAAAUGGGAUAACAUAAUGGAUAUCAAAAUCACUCAAAUCAAAACCACUCAAAUGGGAUAACAUAAUGGACAAUGAGCAGAAUAAAAAACUCAGGCCCAGGUUGCCUCAUGUUUGUUAAAAAACUAAAUUAUUUUGAGGUAUGAAAAUAACACUUUACUCUUUAUAUAGACAAAACUUAAUGUAAAUUCAACUUUUGAUAAUUAAUUGGUUCUCUUGGUUCUCUUUAAAAGAUUCCUUAAAUAUACAAUUUGACCAUCCAAUAGUUUGAAUUGGAAAAUGAUACAAUUUUACCAUUGGACAGGAUUAAUUUCCAAUAGUUUGAAUUGGAAAAUGAGUUUUAUACUUUUGGGUAUGAUAUAAACUUAAGUUCAACAAAUUAUAUUCUUUAAAUUCUUUGCACUCAUUUAUGAAUGUCAAAAAUAAACUAUUUUAUAUUCAAUUAGUUUUUAACUAUAUUUACCAAAACAUUUCAUUUAAAAUCAUGUUUCUGAAAUAAAUUUAAAAAUAUAACAUAAAUAUAAAAUCUUUAUUAUAAAAUGUCUUAAUAAAACUUAUUAGCACUUUAUCCACAAAAUCUUUAUUAUAAAAUGUCUUAAUAAAAUUUGGGCAACCUAGGCCAGAGUUUUUUAUUCUUAUUCUGCUCAUCGUACAUUACGUUAUUUUGAUUCCUGGUUUAUUAUUUACAUAGUGAUUUUUUUUUUUAAAAAUGGUAUUCUUUAGCUUCCUUCUCAAACUACUAUACUAUUCUUUAGCUUCCUUCUCAAACUUCUAGUUUGCUUCCUUCUCAAACUUCUAGUUUAUUAUCCACAUAGUGAUUCUUUUUUUUUUAAAAAUGGUAUUCUUUAGCUUCCUUCUCAAACUACUAUACUAUUCUUUAGCUUCCUUCUCAAACUUCUAUACUAUUUGGAGUCUUCUUUCUAUGUUCAAAUAUUUUCAAGCCUAUAAAAUGAUCAUGACCCCAUUGGGGAUCUACGGAAGUGCAAAAGUACCGAUUAAAUAAAUAGACCACAAAUGUAUUCAUUUUUAGAUAAAUAGACCACAAAUUAUCUCAGACAACUAAAGAAAAUCUAAAUAACUAAAUAUCUUCGCAAAAUGGUUUUCAUUUACAUAUAUCGUAAUAACCUUUAAUUUGUGAUUUACCUCUAAAAGGGAUAUAUGCACACCUAACUCAGGUCCUAGAUUGUUUAAACUUAGAUCCAUAAAACUCUAAAAGGGAUAUAUGCACACCUAACUCAGGUCCUAGAUUGUUUAAACUUAGAUCCAUAAAAACUCAGAUCCAUCGGGUCCUAGAUUGUUUAAACUUAGAUCCAUAAAAACUCAUAUUUUAAGGUAAAUUGUUUCAUUGAAAAUCUUUAGUAUUAUUUUUUAUUUUGAUCAUCCAUUUUAUCAUGGCGACACCUCUGGUUAAUCCUCUUGCGGUUUCAUAGAUAGAGCAACAAUUUACUCUUGACUCUGACUCUAUUAAUAAUUUAGGCAGGACGACAUAUGUGGUUACAGUCGUGAAACAUCAAUUUACUAUUUAUGUGGUUCCAGUCACAUAUCAUCAAUUUAUUUUUGACUUUGUUAAUAUGAUUAUUUCUUUUAAUGCUUUUUAUCAUUUACCCAAUCCAAUUCUUUCUUGAUUUUAAAUAAUAUUGCAAUUAUGUUUUCUUCUCUUUCUUUCAACAUUUUCUUUAUUUUUUUUAUGUUCUUUAAGUAAAUUAAUUUUAGAUUUUCUUAAUAAUGAAGGCGUGUCAGUCUUGAAUGGAGUACUAGAGUUUAUAAACAAUAUCAUUCAUUAAAUUUUUUUUUAAGAUUUUGAAGGAUGAUAAGAUAAAAAUUCUUGAUCAGAUUAAAAAUGAUAAUAAUGUCCAUCUCAUUUGCUUUGUGUGUGGCAAUAACUAUUGAAAUGAACAUUAUUAUCAUUUUUAAUUUGAUUGAAAUUUUUUAUCUCUUCAUCCUUUGAAAUUCUUUU